AGGAAAUUGAUGUCAGGUGUGAACAGAAGCUGUUGAAUAUAUCUGUUGAGGAAGCUGAGUGGUGUGUCUGGAUGGGAGAGAUGAAGGGCAGCUUAAAACAUUAACAAAACUACAGGUGUGACAGAGUACUGCAGAAUAUUUCAUAAUUUCCUAAUGAGGGGACAUCUCUGAGAGGCACAAGAACAGAUGAAGAACUGAGCUCAUGAAGAAGAACUGAAGGAGCAUCAGGUGCUCUGACUGAGUGUCCUUGCCCUGAUCUGCAGAGGCAGCUAGCAGCUCUAAUUUUUUGUAGCUUUCUCUGUCUAGACUCCGCUCCAACAUGCCUGUUUUGACAAUACUAAGCAUCACAUUUGAAAUAAGCACAAAUACCUGAAGCCUAAUCAAAGCCCAGAAUAAGGUACCUACCUGCAUCUUCAGUGCUGCUCAGACAGAAAUAACGCGGUUUUUAGCAUGUUCUUGGACUGACCUAAUGAAAGCAUGGACAUCUGAAAAUUUCAGGACCUUUUAAAGACAGAGCAUAUACUUACGCGGAUGCCUAAGGAGUCCCUAAAACAUCUAAAUCCUGUCUAAAACAUUUUGAGGAUUUAAGCUCUAAUGUUUGGGGCUGACAUAGUAAGCUUGUCUCACGGAGUAUCUUUGUGAUUUCUAGCAACCUCUGAAUGGGUGAACUUCCAACCUAUUCAGCCCUGCCCCACUAAUGCAGUGGUAGCUGCCAUAUGCAUUUAUGGACCUGCUAAGUUGGACUGUGUCUCCAGAGACCAUGUGUUAUUACAUCCUGGGAAAUUUGUCCUGUAUGAGAGUGGCAGUUGACAAACAUUCAGAAUCCAAAUCCAAUCAAAGAAAAGUGUGACUCCAGAUUACAGGCAAUCCAGGCCAUUCUGUGGAAGAUAAAAUGGAUGCUAUAUGACAGCAGAUCAACAGGAAAACGUCCAUGUCACAUGAGAUUAAAACCCACAUCAUUUUCUGUAAUGUGUAUAUGCAGGGUUUGUAAAUCUCUCUCAUUUGCAACACGAGUAUGUCCUCUUUUCUGUUACUGAUCCCCACAGCAGAAUUCUUAUCAAAAAGUUUAUUCUGCACAUAUCUAAUACAAGAUCUUUCACCCUUCUUGCCAAAGCAAAUGGCUUAAACAUUUGUUCAGAAGCAAGAAAAAUCUCUGUAUUCACUGUUGACUACAUAUUGAGUUCUAUCAAAAUUUUUGGGAGCAUUUUUCAGAAACGAUGUCACAUUAAGGAGAUAGAAAUGCCAGGAGAAGGAGGGGGAGAACAUUCAAAC